CGCGGAACCUCGCGCGCCUCACCGGCUGCGUCUGAGGAAUGUCGCGUUCCGGAGGGGCCUUCUCCGACCACACCGACCCCCCCCAAGUCCGCUUGAACGCGGCCACUGCCCAUGGAGGGUGCGAGGCCCGUACGGGGAUUAGGAGUCGGGCGGUCGGACGGCCCCGUCCGUAGAGUCGGGUUGCCUACUAACGCAGCCCAAAGCAGGUGGUAAACUCCAUCUAAGGCUAAAUAUGACCACGAGACCGAUAGCGAACAAGUACCGUGAGGGAAAGUUGAAAAGAACUUUGAAGAGAGAGUUCAAGAGUGCGUGAAACCGUUAAGAGGAAAACGGGUGGAACCUCGAAGGUCGAACGGGGGGAUUCAGUCCGACGGCGUCGGAGUGCAGUGGUGCGGCGACCCUUUUACCCGGGGCGCCCCCGCUGCUCGACCGGCGCGGACGGGCGUAUUUCCCCCUUAGUAGGACGCCGCGACCCGUUGUGGGGUUGCCGAAGGCCCGGGCGGGCGGAACCAUCGCCAUGAGAUGAGGACCCCCCGGUGACUUACAACCUGGCCGACCCCGCGACGGUCGUAACCGCAAGUGCCCGCCCGCCGACUCGUCGGCGGGCGCCUCCUUCGCCGGGGCAGCGGCGCUUUUCAGCGGCGUGUAGGGUCGGUGAUCCACCCGACCCGUCUUGAANNACGGACCAAGGAGUCUAACAUGUGUGCGAGUCAUUGGGCGCACUAAACCCAAAGGCGAAAUGAAAGUGAAGGGCCUCCCCCGAGGGGGCCCGAGGGCCGAUCCGCCGCCAUGCGGCGGCGGCGCAAGCUCGGGACUUGCACACCCCACCGUGGGUGGUGAGUACCAAGAGCAGACAUGUUGGGACCCGAAAGAUGGUGAACUAUGCCUGGCCAGGACGAAGCCAGAGGAAACUCUGGUGGAGGUCCGUAGCGAUUCUGACGUGCAAAUCGAUCGUCGGAGCUGGGUAUAGGGGCGAAAGACUAAUCGAACCAUCUAGUAGCUGGUUCCCUCCGAAGUUUCCCUCAGGAUAGCUGGUGCUCGCUACAGAGUUUCAUCCGGUAAAGCGAAUGAUUAGAGGUCUUGGGGACGAAACGUCCUCAACCUAUUCUCAAACUUUAAAUGGGUGAGAGGUCGGGCUUGCUUGACUGAAGCCUCGACAGUGAAUCUGGAGUACCUAGUGGGCCAUUUUUGGUAAGCAGAACUGGCGCUGUGGGAUGAACCAAACGUCGAGUUAAGGGGCCUAAAUGGACGCUCAUCAGAUCCCAUGAAAGGUGUUGGUUGCUAUAGACAGCAGGACGGUGGCCAUGGAAGUCGGAAUCCGCUAAGGAGUGUGUAACAACUCACCUGCCGAAGCAACUAGCCCUGAAAAUGGAUGGCGCUCAAGCGUCCUCCCGAUACUCGACCGUCGGGGCAGUACCGGCCGACCAGGGUCUCGAAGCCCCGACGAGUAGGAGGGUCGCAGCGGUGAGCGUAGAAGGAGUCCGGCGCGAGCCGGUCUGGAGCCGCCGCUGGUGCAGAUCUUGGUGGUAGUAGCAAAUACUCGAGCGAGAUCCUUGAGGGCUGAAGUGGAGAAGGGUUCCAUGUGAACAUCAGUUGAACAUGGUGCAGUCGAUCCUAAGCCCAAGGAGAAAUCCGCCUUCCACAGUCCCGCCGUGCCGAACAACGAGUUGGCCGGGCCGCCGCCACCAGCAGCCGUGAUGGGCGAUGAUGAGGGAGUACCCUCGUUCGUCCUUNGUCCGCUGUUUGCUGCCGGCUGCCGGCNNNNNNNNNNNNNNNNNNNNNNNNNNNNNNNNNNNNNNNNNNNNNNNNNNNNNNNNNNNNNNNNNNNNNNNNNNNNNNNNNNNNNNNNNNNNNNNNNNNNNNGCACCGCCGCCGCCAGCAGCCGUGAUGCGGGAUGAUGAGGGGGUACUGUGCUUGUUCGUUCGUUGUUCGUUGCCUGCUGCCUGCCUGCCGGCCGGCCCUGCCUCUUCCUCCCUGCCGGGAGGAGGCGAGUGUGGUUUGCUUACCUUGCCCGCUCACUCGCACGCGGUCUAUGCGGCCGGAAGGUUGUGGGCGAAAGGGAAUCCGGUUCUUAUUCCGGAACCUCCACCCGGAGACGGUGUUACCCCUCGCCUAAAGGUACUCCUGGCGACAGGAGGAAACCUGCUGCUGCCGGCCGCGGUCCAGGGAAGAGUUUUCUUUUCUGCUUAAGAGGUCUUGGCCCUGGAAGCUACUUGCAAGGCGAGAGGGCCUUAUCAAACCCGUAGAGCGUCGCAGGUCUUGCGGCGUCCUGAGUACCGCGAUCUUUUGCCGGUCCCUGAAGCAGCGGGGGAAGGGGUCAAAUUUUCGGGG
rnacentral:rRNA from 1 species